GGGAUUCCCCUAGUAACGGCGAGUGAAGCGGGAACAGCUCAAAUUUGAAAGCUGGCCUUCUGGUCCGCAUUGUAAUUUGUAGAGGAUGCUUUUGGCGCGGUGCCUUCUGAGUUCCUUGGAACAGGACGCCUUAGAGGGUGAGAGCCCCGUACAGUUGGACACCUAGCCUUUGUAAAGCUCCUUCGACGAGUCGAGUAGUUUGGGAAUGCUGCUCUAAAUGGGAGGUAAAUUUCUUCUAAAGCUAAAUACCGGCCAGAGACCGAUAGCGCACAAGUAGAGUGAUCGAAAGAUGAAAAGCACUUUGAAAAGAGGGUUAAAUAGCACGUGAAAUUGUUGAAAGGGAAGCGCUUAUGACCAGACUUUUUCCUGGCGGAUCAUCCGGCGUUCUCGCCGGUGCACUUCGCCAGGUUUAGGCCAACAUCGAUUUCCGCCGGGGGAUAAAGGCUUCGGGAAUGUGACUCCCUCCGGGGAGUGUUAUAGCCCGUUGCGCAAUACCCUGGUGGGGAUCGAGGUUCGCGCUUCGGCAAGGAUGUUGGCAUAAUGGUCAUCAGUGACCCGUCUUGAAACACGGACCAAGGAGUCGAACAUUUGUGCGAGUGUUUGGGUGUCAAACCCUCACGCGUAAUGAAAGUGAACGGAGGUGAGAGCCUUAGGGUGCAUCAUCGACCGAUCCUGAUGUCUUCGGAUGGAUUUGAGUAAGAGCAUAAAUGUUCGGACCCGAAAGAUGGUGAACUAUGCGUGGAUAGGGUGAAGCCAGAGGAAAC
rnacentral:rRNA from 1 species